rnacentral:rRNA from 1 species
GACGAACGCUGGCGGCGUGCCUAAUACAUGCAAGUUGAGCGAUGAAGAUUGGUGCUUGCACCAAUUUGAAGAGCAGCGAACGGGUGAGUAACGCGUGGGGAAUCUGCCUUUGAGCGGGGGACAACAUUUGGAAACGAAUGCUAAUACCGCAUAAUAACUUUAAACAUAAGUUUUAAGUUUGAAAGAUGCAAUUGCAUCACUCAAAGAUGAUCCCGCGUUGUAUUAGCUAGUUGGUGAGGUAAAGGCUCACCAAGGCGACGAUACAUAGCCGACCUGAGAGGGUGAUCGGCCACAUUGGGACUGAGACACGGCCCAAACUCCUACGGGAGGCAGCAGUAGGGAAUCUUCGGCAAUGGACGAAAGUCUGACCGAGCAACGCCGCGUGAGUGAAGAAGGUUUUCGGAUCGUAAAACUCUGUUGGUAGAGAAGAACGUUGGUGAGAGUGGAAAGCUCAUCAAGUGACGGUAACUACCCAGAAAGGGACGGCUAACUACGUG